rnacentral:rRNA from 1 species
AGUGAACGCUGGCGGUAGGCCUAACACAUGCAAGUCGAACGGCAGCACAGUAAGAGCUUGCUCUUACGGGUGGCGAGUGGCGGACGGGUGAGGAAUACAUCGGAAUCUACUUUUUCGUGGGGGAUAACGUAGGGAAACUUACGCUAAUACCGCAUACGACCUACGGGUGAAAGCAGGGGAUCUUCGGACCUUGCGCGAUUGAAUGAGCCGAUGUCGGAUUAGCUAGUUGGCGGGGUAAAGGCCCACCAAGGCGACGAUCCGUAGCUGGUCUGAGAGGAUGGGAAGCCACGGUGGCAGGGAGACACGGACCAGUCCGGUGGGGGGGACCGGGGUGGGAAAUAUUGGACUGGGGGCAAGAGCCAGAGAGAGCCAUACCGCGAGGGUGAAGAAGGCCUGCGGGUUGUAAAGCUCUUUUGUGGGAAAAAAAAAGCAGCAGGUUAAUACCCCGCUGUUCUGGCGGUACAAAAAGAAUAAGAACCGGCAAACCGCG